rnacentral:rRNA from 1 species
CACGAACGCUGGCGGCAUGCCUAACACAUGCAAGUCGAACGAGACCUUCGGGUCUAGUGGCGCACGGGUGCGUAACGCGUGGGAACCUGCCCUUAGGUUCGGAAUAACUCCCCGAAAGGGGUGCUGAUACCGGAUAAUGUCUUCGGACCAAAGAUUUAUCGCCUUUGGAUGGGCCCGCGUUGGAUUAGCUAGUUGGUAGGGUAAAAGCCUACCAAGGCGACGAUCCAUAGCUGGUCUGAGAGGAUGAUCAGCCACACUGGGACUGAGACACGGCCCAGACUCCUACGGGAGGCAGCAGUGGGGAAUAUUGGACAAUGGGCGAAAGCCUGAUCCAGCAAUGCCGCGUGAGUGAUGAAGGCCUUAGGGUUGUAAAGCUCUUUUACCCGGGAUGAUAAUGACAGUACCGGGAGAAUAAGCUCCGGCUAACUCCGUG